GCCAGUGUGGCAUAAUGGUUUGAGUGUUGGACGGUGACUCUGGAGACCAGGGUUCGAGUCCCUGCUCAGCCA
rnacentral:tRNA from 1 species